UACAGAGGGUGCGAGCGUUGUUCGGAAUUAUUGGGCGUAAAGGGCGCGUAGGCGGCGCGGUAUGUCGCCUGUGAAAUCUCCUGGCUCAACUGGGAGCUUGCAGGCGAAACUGCCGUGCUGGAGUGUGGGAGAGGUGCGUGGAAUUCCUGGUGUAGCGGUGAAAUGCGUAGAUAUCAGGAGGAACACCUGUGGCGAAAGCGGCGCACUGGACCACAACUGACGCUGAGGCGCGAAAGCUAGGGGAGCAAACAGG
rnacentral:rRNA from 1 species